GCCUUCGUGGUAUAAUGGUCAGCACACUCGGCGCGUGUUCGAGAGGUCACAGGUUCGAGUCCCGGCGAGGGCA
rnacentral:tRNA from 1 species